GAACAGUAUUUGGUCAGGUGUGCAGCUGUUGAAUGGUCAGGUCUGUAAAGAGAGAAACCUGUUAGUGCAAGCUUGACUGUCGUUCUCCAGUUGUUUUCAGUGCAUGGAUGAAUCCAUACUCUUAAUUUCAACUUCCCCAAUGGCCACAUGUCUGCCAUAACCUGUGAACGCCCACCUUGCAGUCACAGUGUGCGGUGCAGUUGCGUGCCCAAGCAAGGGGAAUGGGCUUGUUGUCCAUGCUUGCAUUCAGGUAGAAAAAAAAUAUAGGAAAAGCAACACCAAGAUGGUUGUGAGCAUGGUGCUAAGCAUGUACUUCAGGCUGAGCUUUGAACAGAGGGACAUGCUGGAGUAUGCCUGAUUGUAGUGUUUUCACCUCCUGUUUUCAGGCAGAGGUCAGCGUUCACAUCUUAUGUAAAUAAAUUGGCCUCCUGACAGCAAAAACAUUGCAAGGCCACGUAUACAGACUCACUGCUCAGACAGCAGUGCAGGGAAUGCAGCUGCCAGGAAGAGAAGGUGGAGCUCAGCAGAUGGAUCUAGAUGGGAAGGAGGUCCAGUGUUGGAAGUCCAGUGCUGGAAACCUGACAAGUAAUGAGAGCUGGAAGGGAGUCCAGUUUCUCCAGUGAUUCUAAACAUCGCAGCAGAGCCAAGUUUAAGUAAGUCUGAGGAGUGCCUGGAGGCCCAGGCUAUGUUGCAACACCUAUUUGCUAUGUGCAGGACAUACUUUCAGGAGACCAUUUCCAUCUGGAAUAGCUUCUUCUGCACACACUAAGUAUCAGUAAGAAGAAAGAGACUGAUCACGCUGCACUGGAACAGAGAAGAUGCAUAGUUUACCCAAGGCUGUAACUGAGAAAGUCCUCUAUAGAGCUGUAUGGACAGCCUCGCUCUCAAGCCAUGUGGAUAGACAGCAGAACUGAUCAGCUGAUGUUUUUGCAUGGAGAAAGAAAAGAGUGCAUAUGCCUGAAACAACCUGUGCUAAACAUGGUGAUACAAGUGGCAAUUCCACUUGUUCAGAAGGCAGCCUGAUCAUGGGAGACUUAAGAAUUUUUGUUCAUGUCUUUGCUAAUGAUCCCUUUAAUUACUAGCUAUAAAUCAUAUGGUAUGAAAAUAUCACCAUUCUCAUUUCAAGAAGAAAGAUUUUGUAAUGCUUUCUCACUGUGUAAUAUGUAUGGAUUUAGGGCUCUGUGGAUUAAAUUUGGCAAUUUCAGGCAUGCAAGGUUACUAAUCCGUACUUUGUCUACAAAAAAAUAGAAAGAAGAAGCAAGGCAGCCUUGUGCCCUGGGGAUGGCUGGGGAAUUCCACACAUGCCUGUCUUCUGUAACUCUUGUCAAGGGUGAAAACAUUAACAUCAGUGUUGCAAUAGUUACAGGCAGACCGAAGGGGCACACUUGAAGCAAACAUACGUGGUUUCGUUAAGUACUUCUCUGUUUUCACCUCACGGUUAUUUUUUUGACAUCUCUGUUCUUCCAGUUUCCUGAUGUUUUAAAGAAUGUAUUUGUCACAUUUAAUUCUGUUUUCCUGUAAUAACUUCAUCCACAGAGACUUCUCUUGGAGAACGGCCCAGAGAUUUUUCUGUUUCUUCUUACAUUUCUAUUUUCUCUGCAUCUGCUAUUACAUCAUUUAUAUGGGUUACAUACACAUAAUUUUAGUUUUUAUGUCAGAGUUAUAAUGCCACAAUCAGGCUGUCGAAAUGGCUAAGUCCUGAGGAAUUUAUUUAGGCAGGAUUUGCACAGAAUUUUGUGUGAUUGCUUCAAUAAGUUGAAUACUGCAAUAUUUCUGGUAGGUAUGCAAAAAUAAUAUAGGUAUAAGAAUAGAGCAUCAGUAAAAAUCAUUUCAGCAGUCACUAAAGUGAACCACAUUGUGCAGCUUUAACAAGGUCAGUGACGAACUAGAAGGAAGCAAGGAAUCUUGAUUUUGGCUUCAGUUUUCAACUCUUGACCACACUUCUUUGCUGUAUAAUUAUACUAUUUACUGUUAAAUUUCAUUUAAUAUUGAACUGAGUAAAUGCUAUAAUUACUGAAUUUAAUAAAUUC
ensembl:lncRNA